CCAAUAGCGUAUAUUAAAGUUGUUGCAGUUAAAAAGCUCGUAGUUGAAUUUCGGGGUCAGUAGGUUGGUCAUGCCACUGGUAUGUACUGGUCUCACUGAUUCCUCCUUCCUGAUGAGCCGUAAUGCCAUUAAUUUGGUGUUGCGAGGAAUCUGGACUGUUACUUUGAAAAAAUUAGAGUGUUUAAAGCAGGCUAACGCUUGAAUACAUUAGCAUGGAAUAAUGAAAUAGGACGUUCGAUCUUAUUUUGUUGGUUUCUAAGAUUGACGUAAUGAUUAAUAGGGAUAGUUGGGGGCAUUAGUAUUCAAUUGUCAGAGGUGAAAUUCUUGGAUUUAUUGAAGACUAACUACUGCGAAAGCAUUUGCCAAGGAUGUUUUCAUUAAUCAAGAACGAAAGUUAGGGGAUCGAAGACGAUCAGAUACCGUCGUAGUCUUAACCAUAAACUAUGCCGACUAGGGAUCGGAUGAUGUUAAUUUUUUAAUGACUCAUUCGGCGCCUUACG
rnacentral:ncRNA from 2 species